rnacentral:lncRNA from 1 species
AUCAGGAGGCUGUAGAGCUGUGGCUAGUGUUGGUCUUUCUGUCAUGUCCCUAACAAAUCUUUCAGGGAUUGUUGCUGGCCUAGCCUUUCUCAGUUCUUGAACAUCAUCAAUAUGACCAACGUUAAUUGGAGAAAUGGGAACAGGAGCCAUGGAAAAUAGAAUUUGGAAAUGUGUCAAAAAAUUAGUGAAAGCUAAGGAAGAAGUUUUACCUGAUAGCUUCAAGCUUACACGACUCUGCAUUUAUAGAAGGAGAAAGUGCAGUUUGCAUUGUUAAAUGCCCAGUGGUCUUC